rnacentral:rRNA from 1 species
UACGGGGGGGAGCAAGCGUUGUUCGGAUUUACUGGGCGUAAAGGGCGCGUAGGCGGCGUGGCAAGUCACUUGUGAAAUCUCCGGGCUUAACUCGGAACGGUCAAGUGAUACUGCUGUGCUAGAGUGCGGAAGGGGCAACUGGAAUUCUUGGUGUAGCGGUGAAAUGCGUAGAUAUCAAGAGGAACACCUGCGGCGAAGGCGGGUUGCUGGGCCGACACUGACGCUGAGGCGCGAAAGCUAGGGGAGCGAACGGG